rnacentral:rRNA from 1 species
AGAGUUUGAUCCUGGCUCAGAUUGAACGCUGGCGGAAUGCUUUACACAUGCAAGUCGAACGGCAGCACGGGGGCUUGCUCCUGGUGGCGAGUGGCGAACGGGUGAGUAAUGUAUCGGAACGUACCCAGUCGUGGGGGAUAACUCUCCGAAAGGAGAGCUAAUACCGCAUACGUCCUGAGGGAGAAAGCGGGGGACCUAAGGGUAACUGAGGGCCUCGCGCGAUUGGAGCGGCCGAUAUCGGAUUAGCUAGUUGGUGGGGUAAAGGCUCACCAAGGCGACGAUCCGUAGCGGGUCUGAGAGGACGACCCGCCACACUGGAACUGAGACACGGUCCAGACUCCUACGGGAGGCAGCAGUGGGGAAUUUUGGACAAUGGGGGCAACCCUGAUCCAGCCAUUCCGCGUGAGUGAAGAAGGCCUUCGGGUUGUAAAGCUCUUUCACCAAGAACGAAACGGCAGGUCUUAAUACGGCUUGCUAAUGACGGUACCUGCAGAAGAAGCACCGGCUAACUACGUGCCAGCAUCCGCGGUAAUACGUAGGGUGCGAGCGUUAAUCGGAAUUACUGGGCGUAAAGCGUGCGCACGCGGUGACAUAAGACAGAUGUGAAAUCCCCGGGCUCACCUGGGAACUGCGUUUGUGACUGUGUUACUAGAGUGU